rnacentral:rRNA from 1 species
GAAUGGCCUACCAAGACGAUGAUGUGUAGCUGGACUGAGAGGUUGAACAGCCACAUUGGGACUGAGACACGGCCCAAACUCCUACGGGAGGCAGCAGUAGGGAAUUUUCGGCAAUGGAGGAAACUCUGACCGAGCAACGCCGCGUGAAUGACGAAGUACUUCCGGUAUGUAAAGUUCUUUUAUCGAGGAAGAAAAGCAAAUGGGGAACCAUUUGUUUGCCGGUACUUGAUGAAUAAGCCCCGGCUAAUUAUGUGCCAGCAGCCGCGGUAAGACAUAAGGGGCAAGUGUUAUCCGGAAUUAUUGGGCGUAAAGGGUGCGUAGGCGGUCUAGUAAGUCAGUGGUGUAAUGGCAACGCUUAACGUUGUCCGGCUAUUGAAACUGCUAAACUUGAGUUAGAUAGAGGCGAGUGGAAUUCCAUGUGUAGCGGUAAAAUGCGUAAAUAUAUGGAGGAACACCAGAGGCGUAGGCGGCUCGCUGGGUCUUAACUGACGCUGAGGCACGAAAGCGUGGGGAGCAAACAGGAUUAGAUACCCUGGUAGUCCACGCCGUAAACGAUGAGUACUAAGUGUCGGGUUAAACCGGUACUGAAGUUAACACAUUAAGUACUCCGCCUGAGUAGUACGUACGCAAGUAUGAAACUUAAAGGAAUUGACGGGACUCCGCACAAGCGGUGGAUCAUGUUGUUUAAUUCGAAGAUACCCGAAAAACCUUACCAGGUCUUGACAUGUUUUUGCAAAAUGAUAGUAAUAUCGUGGAGGUUACCAGAAACACAGGUGGUGCAUGGUUGUCGUCAGCUCGUGUCGUGAGAUGUUAGGUUAAGUCCUAAAACGAGCGAAACCCUUAUCGUUAGUUGCCAGCACGUUAUGGUGGGGACUUUAACGAGACUGCCAAUGAUAAAUUGGAGGAAGGUGAGGAUCACGUCAAAUCAGCAUGCCCCUUAUGACCUGGGCUACAAACGUGAUACAAUGGCUGUUACAAAGGGUAGCUGAAACUCAA